rnacentral:rRNA from 1 species
CCUACGGGUGGCUGCAGUGGGGAAUAUUGCACAAUGGGCGCAAGCCUGAUGCAGCCAUGCCGCGUGUGUGAAGAAGGCCUUCGGGUUGUAAAGCACUUUCAGCGGGGAGGAAGGCGGUGAGGUUAAUAACCUCAUCGAUUGACGUUACCCGCAGAAGAAGCACCGGCUAACUCCGUGCCAGCAGCCGCGGUAAUACGGAGGGUGCAAGCGUUAAUCGGAAUUACUGGGCGUAAAGCGCACGCAGGCGGUCUGUCAAGUCGGAUGUGAAAUCCCCGGACUCAACCUGGGAACUGCAUUCGAAACUGGCAGGCUAGAGUCUUGUAGAGGGGGGUAGAAUUCCAGGUGUAGCGGUGAAAUGCGUAGAGAUCUGGAGGAAUACCGGUGGCGAAGGCGGCCCCCUGGACAAAGACUGACGCUCAGGUGCGAAAGCGUGGGGAGCAAACAGGAUUAGAUACCCGGGUAGUC